CGCAAGCCUGACGGAGCAAGACCGCGUGCGGGAUGACGGCCUAAUGGUUGUAAACCGCUUUUCUCUGGGAAGAUGAUGACGGUACCAGAGGAAUCAGCCUCGGCUAACUCCGUGCCAGCAGCCGCGGUAAUACGGAGGAGGCGAGCGUUAUCCGGAAUUAUUGGGCGUAAAGCGUCCGUAGGUGGUUCAUCAAGUCAGCUGUUAAAGAGCGGAGCUCAACUCCGUCGGAGCGGUUGAAACUGGUGAACUAGAGUUUGGUAGGGGUCGAGGGAAUUCCCAGUGUAGCGGUGAAAUGCGUAGAUAUUGGGAAGAACACCAGUGGCGAAAGCGCUCGACUGGGCCUGCACUGACACUGAGGGACGAAAGCUAGGGGAGCG
rnacentral:rRNA from 1 species